rnacentral:rRNA from 1 species
UACGAAGGGGGCUAGCGUUGCUCGGAAUCACUGGGCGUAAAGGGUGCGUAGGCGGGUCUUUUAAGUCAGAGGUGAAAUCCUGGAGCUCAACUCCAGAACUGCCUUUGAUACUGGAAGAUCUUCGAGUUCGGGAGAGGUGAGUGGAACUGCGAGUGUAGAGGUGAAAUUCGUAGAUAUUCGCAAGAACACAGUGGCGAAGGCG